rnacentral:lncRNA from 1 species
UUUUGUCUCAACACUUAUUUACGAGAUUGCCUUCUUAUGCGAUAUAUAUAUAAUCAAAAUACUAACAUUCUCAUUCUCUAUUUUAUUUCCUCACUUAAUAUACAUAUUUCGAUCAAACUGGAAAGCUUGUGCUAUUGCAGUAGGGCACAUAACAUCCUCGAAUCACAAGGUAGCUGGUUUUUCUUAAUUAUAUACGUUUAUUCAAUCUUUCUACACAUAUAUAUUUACUCAAUUUUGUAGUGACUCCAAUUUAAUUAAUUUUUUUCAGUACUGUUCAUCAGAGUGCUUGGGCAUAUUUGCAGCACAAGGUAG